rnacentral:lncRNA from 1 species
UACCUCCAAUAAUAUGGAGUAUUUACUACAUCACCAAGCAUAAGUAACACCUACUUUGGGACAUCCACAAGACAUGGCAAGGCCCAACCGAGACAUGCAUCGUGUAGCCCUAUGUUCAGGCUACGCGGCGGUAUCCGGAAGUCGCAAAUCCGCCACCGGGAAGCCACCUUUCCGCCCUUGCCAAGAUGCCCCCAUAACAUAGCUUUCUACAUGUUAAAUAGACUAGAAUAGUAACUUUGCUUGUCCCACAUCGAAGAACAAGUAAAUGAGAAGCAUUCCUUCAUCUAUAAAAGGAAUGCCUCCUCCCACAACUCAACACAUUCAUUACAUCUCUUGUAAUCUUGUUAGGCCGCAAGGCUCGACACACUAGUAUAGCUUUCAAGUGGACGUAGUCUCCCGCUCAUGCGGAGGCGAACCACUAUACAUCUUGUGUCAAUCUCUCUCUCUCUCUCUAUCUCUUACUUAUCGUUAAUUAGAUCCCCACGGAUCCAAGCAUUAACAUUGGCGCCGUCUGUGGGAAGCCAACACAAAGGCUUCGUCACCUACCACGAGCUUUGACCCAUAAGCGUCGAGGUCAACGCUCAUUCAACAUCAAAUUAGGGUCCGGUCAACGCCCAGCGGAGUCGGUCAACGCCCAACAUGGCUGGUCAACGCCCGGUGGAGUCGGUCAACCCCCGGCG